UCAGUGCUUGGAUCAGUCAUUUUCUAGCUUGCAUGGGAGGUUGUUUUGGUUGCUGUGCAAAAUCUCAACCAGUUAUUGCUGUGGAUGAACCAUCUAAAGGACUACGAAUACAAGGAAAGUUGGUGAGAAAACAGAGUUUGUCGGAUGAUUUUUGGAGCACCAGUACAUGCGAUCUGGAGAUUAGUACUGUUCAAUCUCAUAGAAGUAUGUCUUCCAUCAGUAUCUCAAAUCAGAGCCUCAGUCAACAGAGUGGCACUGGCAAUGCUAGCAACAAUAAUGAAUUCGUAAAUCACGGCUAUCUUCUUUGGAACCAGACCAGGCUUCAGUGGCUAGCAAGUAAAAAUCCAGAGAACCAAAGAGUCAUUGAAGAACCGAUGUUAACUUGGAACGUUUCCUAUGAUAGCUUAUUUGGGACUAACAAGCGAUUCCCUCAGCCAAUUCCUCUCUCGGACAUGGUCGACUUUCUUGCUGAUAUUUGGGAGCACGAGGGUUUGUACGAUUAACCAUGCUGAUCGAUAUUGUGUAUUGAUAUCUUCUUCGCUUUAUCUGAAUUUUUCUGGUUGUUUUAACUUCUGAUAAAAUUGUGCAUAGUUUCCAGUAUAGAGGGAGUGAUGGAGG
rnacentral:misc_RNA from 1 species